rnacentral:rRNA from 1 species
CUUGAACGCUGGCGGCAUGCCUUACACAUGCAAGUCGAACGGUAACAGGUCUUCGGAUGCUGACGAGUGGCGAACGGGUGAGUAAUACAUCGGAACGUGCCUAGUAGUGGGGGAUAACUACUCGAAAGAGUGGCUAAUACCGCAUGAGAUCUACGGAUGAAAGCAGGGGAUCGCAAGACCUUGUGCUACUAGAGCGGCCGAUGGCAGAUUAGGUAGUUGGUGGGAUAAAAGCUUACCAAGCCGACGAUCUGUAGCUGGUCUGAGAGGACGAUCAGCCACACUGGGACUGAGACACGGCCCAGACUCCUACGGGAGGAAGCAGUGGGGAAUUUUGGACAAUGGGCGCAAGCCUGAUCCAGCAAUGCCGCGUGCAGGAUGAAGGCCUGCGGGUUGUAAACUGCUUUUGUACGGAACGAAAAGCCCUGGGUUAAUACCCUGGGGUCAUGACGGUACCGUAAGAAUAAGCACCGGCUAACUACGUGCCAGCCGCCGCCGUAACAC